UGAGUAACCUGCCCUUAACUCUGGGAUAAGCCUGGGAAACUGGGUCUAAUACCGGAUAUGACUCCUCAUCGCAUGGGUGGGGGGUGGAAAGCUUUAUUGUGGUUUUGGAUGGACUCGCGGCCUAUCAGCUUGUUGGUGAGGUAAUGGCUCACCAAGGCGACGACGGGUAGCCGGCCUGAGAGGGUGACCGGCCACACGUGGGACUGAGACACGGCCCAGACCUCCGUACGGGAGGCAG
rnacentral:rRNA from 1 species